ensembl:lncRNA
GUGACUUCAUGAAAAGGAUAUUAGCAUCUAAUUUAAGGGUGACAAUCCAUUCUUCAAAGCAUCGUGUUGACGUCUAGCCUUUUUUCAAUAACUGGUCUGAACCAGUGCUUCCCAAACCUCUCCUGGAGGACCCCCUGGCCUGCACAUUUUGUAUGUCUCCCUAAUCAGACACACCCAAUUUAGUUCUCGCAGUCUCUACUAACGAGGUGAUGAGUGGAAUCAGGUGAGUUAGAUAAGAGAGACAUACAAAAAGUGCAGGGCAGGGGGGCCUCCAGGACAGGUUUGGGAAGCACUGGUCUACACCAUAUAUUUUGAUUUAACAUUUGUAGAACUACAGAUCGUCUCAAGUGUUAAAAAAUGUGCUGACCAAUCACUGCUACUGUAGGCUGGCCAACACCAAAACUCAGUCGCAAACAGAGGCAAUGUCACGAACACAAGCCCAAACUACAGUCUAAAGGUCAGAAGUGUUGAGGGGCUGCAGAGCUGCUGUUCUCUGACCUCACAGUCUGCAGAUUAACAGAGUUUCGCCGGCCCGAGGAAAACAUGACUGAGCUUCACAGCCAAGAGAACCUCAUUUUUUCUUCUUGCUGGCUGACCAUGGCAGAUAAGAGUCAGGACCCAUCAGAGCCACUGAAGCGGGUGCCCAGGCGAGUGCCUGACCUAAAUGCUUGACUGCACUCAGCUAGCUAACCACAUUCAGCGGGCCGUGGAGGUGGAGUGAGGCUCUUCUGCUGUCUGCGGGCUCAAAACGCAGGAUCAAGGGUGGUCGCAAUUCAUCAUGGUCACCGACCGCCUGCGCUGACAGAGGAGUGACAGGACAGACAGCUUUGAUCAUUCACAGAGCACCUGCACUAUGGAGUUUACACUGGGAAUCCAUUGAUUUCUGUGGAACUGUUUCAUUUCAAGGAUAUAUAACCAGAACACUUAUUUUGAAUGUCCACUUACAUAACAGUCAGAGUAUUAGUAGACUCUUUGCUUAAUAUCUGCUGACAUUCUACUGACUGUAAGUAAUUUUGGAAGUAUGUCAACUUAUUCUACUAACCCUAAUCCUAACCUAAAACUGAAUUACUAAUACAGGUAACAAUUGCCAUAGUAACACGUUAGUUUAGGGACCAAUUUUCACUAUUAACUAGUUGCUUAUUAGCAUGCAUAUUACUAUUGGCCGUUUAUUAGUAUUUAUAAAGCACAUAUUAUGCAUGACCAUAUUCUACAUCCCUAAUCCUACCCAAUACCUAAACUUAACAACUACCUUACUUACUAUUUAUAAGCAGUAGUUAGGAGUUUAUUGAGGCGACCAUUUUCAUCUAAUGAUUUUUAAGAUAU